CAAAGUCCAUUGUCAUUAGGAAUUAUACUAUUCUAUCAUGUGUGGCUCACUUGGUGAUAUAUUAAUCAUAUCUUUUUUUUAGGUAUACACAAGCGAGAAUUAAAAGUCCUAAAUAUAUUGUGCAAAGAAGGGAAACAUGAACCCGUGUGAAGAGACGUACCGCGACAGACGAAAAGUGUUCAAGUUGCGAACAGCUUGUAAACGCAUCCUUUUCGAGGCUCGUGAAUGACAGUUGUGGCCAUACCAAGUGCCGAAUGUGCCUGCUGUAGGAGGAGCAUGGACGCAAAAUCUGUCAGACUGAACUCUGCGUAACAGUAAGAGAAGAAUGUUACAUCGCGAACGCAGAUUUGAAUGAAGCAAAAAAGUCACCAGGUGAGGAGAUUGUGCUGCCGUUAGAAAUGGUCAAAAAUAAGGAUUCUAAAUCUAAGCAAGAUUGUUCGCCGCAAGUGAAUCGUCUGAUAUUUAUGAGAUCACCACUUUUGGUUCUACAAAGAGUCCUACAAAUUUGUAACAAAUAGUGCAGCCAAUAGUGAUAAAUUCAGUCAAACGAACAAUCCAAGAAUAGAGUCCUACGAUGUAGCGUUGAGCAUUCAGAGCCACUUAGAAAGCGACAGUAAGCGUGAUUUAAAGGAUCUGCAGAAUCCGCAUGUAAAAAAUGUAGAUAUCAAUCUAAUCUUUUAAGAUAUUUAUAAUUAUGUUAUACAUUUUAUUUUUAUAUUGACGAUACUUUAAUAACACAUAAUCAAGUAGAUUUAAUAACUACAUCUUAAUUAUUGUACUUAUUGUUCACAUUUUCGGGAAAGAGACGUUAUAGAAAAUAACUAUUUUGUAGAAUUAUUGUUAUUGAAAAAAAAUUAAAUCUAACUAUCGCAUAUCAAGAUCUCAGAAGAUGGUAUAUUAAACUUUGGAAAAAUUUUUCAUUUACAUUUUUAAUCUCUUAUUAUAUUUUUUAAGUAAAGUUAAAAAUAUUAUUAUUAGAGAUAUUAAUUAUAAAUAAACAUUUUUCAUAAUUUUUUUAUUAAGUUUGCAAUAUUUAAUUUGAAUGAGAAUAUAAAAUUAAAAUUGCAGUUUACUUACUUUAUCUGUUUC
rnacentral:lncRNA from 13 species